rnacentral:rRNA from 1 species
UACGUAGGUGGCAAGCGUUGUCCGGAAUUAUUGGGCGUAAAGCGCGCGCAGGCGGUCCUUUAAGUCUGAUGUGAAAGCCCACGGCUCAACCGUGGAGGGUCAUUGGAAACUGGGGGACUUGAGUACAGAAGAGAAGAGUGGAAUUCCACGUGUAGCGGUGAAAUGCGUAGAGAUGUGGAGGAACACCAGUGGCGAAGGCGACUCUUUGGUCUGUAACUGACGCUGAGGCGCGAAAGCGUGGGGAGCAAACAGGAUUGAGAUAC